AGGGAUCAGAUAGUGAGGGUCCCCGUUUAAGAACGCGGAUUCUUUUGUCUGCGUAUUUUGAGGGUUUUUUUUUUUUUUUUUCGUUUCUUUUUUCUUCCCACUAGUUACUCCUUAUCGAAGCAGGCACUUGGAGUACACAGAAGGUAGCUGGUGUUUCAGGAAGGGACCAAAUAAGGGACCCAGGCUCGCUUGUCCCCCAAGGCUGGAAGGACUGGACGCCCAUUGGAAUCCGAGGGUGUCGAUCAUCUCACCUCUGCGAAUGGGCUGAGAGCUCGUGGCCCGCCUCAGAAACAGGAACUGCAAAAUACUCUGUAGUUGAAAAACUGUCUGGUGGGAUUAUUUUCAGCGUAGAGUGGCUAAAUUAGGACAUGCUGCAUUAGCAGAGGGAGAGUUAUAGCAGGCCUCCAGAAUUUCCCUACUACGACCAAUGGGCACCAUACCCCGGAGGACUGGCUACUUCUCAAAUUAAAAUGUUCCCGCUAUUUUAUCAAGGACAAUGACGAUUUCUUCGCUCUCCUUAGAACCUUAAAAAUUCGAAAAGGCUGUAUUUAAACAGUUGAGGUCACAAGCUAAGAAAACAAGCAUUCAAAUUCACCAAAAGCUCCAAGUUGGUCAGGAGCAAAUGAUCCAAACAGACUGAUGCAGAAGACUACCAAAAAGGCAGGAAGAGGUCAGGGCCUGCACAUGAACCUGGAAGAAUGGAGCUCAUCUGUGGACAAGGAAAUAGCUGUCUCUCACUCUUGAUAAAGAAGAUGACAGUUGUGUGUGUGCACGCACCAAAUUGCAGGAGAG